AACGAACGCUGGCGGCAUGCCUAACACAUGCAAGUCGAACGAGACCUUCGGGUCUAUUGGCGCCCGGGUGCGUCACGCGUGGGAAUCUACCCUCAGGUUCGGAAUAACUCAGAGAAAUUUGAGCUAAUACCGGAUGAUGACGUAAGUCCAAAGAUUUAUCGCCUGAGGAUGAGCCCGCGUAGGAUUAGGUAGUUGGUGAGGUAAAGGCUCACCAAGCCGACGAUCCUUAGCUGGUCUGAGAGGAUGAUCAGCCACACUGGGAGUGAGACACGGCCCAGACUCCUACGGGAGGCAGCAGUGGGGAAUAUUGGACAAUGGGCGAAAGCCUGAUCCAGCAAUGCCGCGUGAGUGAUGAAGGCCUUAGGGUUGUAAAGCUCUUUUACCCGGGAUGAUAAUGACGGUACCGGGAGAAUAAGCCCCGGCUAACUCCGUG
rnacentral:rRNA from 1 species